UACGGGGGGGGCAAGCGUUGUUCGGAAUUACUGGGCGUAAAGGGUGCGUAGGCGGUCUGUUAAGUUGGAUGUGAAAACUCUGGGCUCAACCCAGAGCCUGCAUCCAAAACUGGCAGGCUAGAGUUCUGGAGGGGGUAGCGGAAUUCCUGGUGUAGCGGUGGAAUGCGCAGAUAUCAGGAAGAACACCAACGGCGAAGGCAGCUCGCUAGGACGGUACUGACGCUGAGACGCGAAAGCGUGGGGAGCGAACAGG
rnacentral:rRNA from 1 species